UACGGAGGGGGCUAGCGUUGUUCGGAAUUACUGGGCGUAAAGCGCGCGUAGGCGGACCUGCAAGUCGGGGGUGAAAGCCCGAGGCUCAACCUCGGAACUGCCUUCGAUACUGCGGGUCUCGAGUCCGGGAGAGGUGAGUGGAAUUCCUAGUGUAGAGGUGAAAUUCGUAGAUAUUAGGAAGAACACCAGUGGCGAAGGCGGCUCACUGGCCCGGUACUGACGCUGAGGCGCGAAAGCGUGGGGAGCG
rnacentral:rRNA from 1 species